rnacentral:rRNA from 1 species
CCUUUACUAUAGCUUGACACUGAACAUUGAGCCUUGAUGUGUAGGAUAGGUGGGAGGCUUUGAAGUGUGGACGCCAGUCUGCAUGGAGCCGACCUUGAAAUACCACCCUUUAAUGUUUGAUGUUCUAACGUGGACCCGUGAUCCGGGUUGCGGACAGUGUCUGGUGGGUAGUUUGACUGGGGCGGUCUCCUCCUAAAGAGUAACGGAGGAGCACGAAGGUUGGCUAAUCCUGGUCGGACAUCAGGAGGUUAGUGCAAUGGCAUAAGCCAGCUUGACUGCGAGCGUGACGGCGCGAGCAGGUGCGAAAGCAGGUCAUAGUGAUCCGGUGGUUCUGAAUGGAAGGGCCAUCGCUCAACGGAUAAAAGGUACUCCGGGGAUAACAGGCUGAUACCGCCCAAGAGUUCAUAUCGACGGCGGUGUUUGGCACCUCGAUGUCGGCUCAUCACAUCCUGGGGCUGAAGUAGGUCCCAAGGGUAUGGCUGUUCGCCAUUUAAAGUGGUACGCGAGCUGGGUUUAGAACGUCGUGAGACAGUUCGGUCCCUAUCUGCCGUGGGCGCUGGAGAACUGAGGGGGGCUGCUCCUAGUACGAGAGGACCGGAGUGGACGCAUCACUGGUGUUCGGGUUGUCAUGCCAAUGGCACUGCCCGGUAGCUAAAUGCGGAAGAGAUAAGUGCUGAAAGCAUCUAAGCACGAAACUUGCCCCGAGAUGAGUUCUCCCUGAGACUUUAGGUCUCCUGAAGGAACGUUGAAGACGACGACGUUGAUAGGCCGGGUGUGUAAGCGCAGCGAUGCGUUGAGCUAACCGGUACUAAUGAACCGUGAGGCUUAACCUUACAACGCCGAAG